UUAUAUAUAGCGCCUGGACACUCUUUUUGGGUGUUGACGAGGUUCAGAGUUAUCGAAAGAUUCGGCGGAUGCUCUGAUGGCUUUUACUUAUGGUCAUGAGUAUUGAUUAAAGAGCAGUAGUAAUAUUGUAACAAAGGUCAAUACAU
rnacentral:ncRNA from 1 species